rnacentral:rRNA from 1 species
GACGAACGCUGGCGGCGUGCUUAACACAUGCAAGUCGAACGGAAAGGCCUGCUUUCCCUUGUGGAUUGCGGGUACUCGAGUGGCGAACGGGUGAGUAACACGUGAGUGAUCUGCCCCCAACUUGGGUAUAAGCCUGGGAAACUGGGUCUAAUUCCCGAUAGGACUGCAGGGUGGUGCCUGUGGUGGAAAACGAUUUUCUAGUGGUUGGGGAUGAGCUCGCGGCCUAUCAGCUUGUUGGUGGGGUAAUGGCCUACCAAGGCGGCGACGGGUAGCCGGCCUGGGAGGGUGGACGGGCACAGUGGGACUGAGAUACGGCCCAGACGCCUACGGGAGGCAGCAGUGGGGAAUAUGGCACAAUGGGCGGAAGCCUGAUGCAGCGACGCCGCGUGGGGGAUGACGGCCUUCGGGUUGUAAACUCCUUUCGACCGCGAGGAAGCCACCUGGUUGGAAGGGUGGUGACGGUAGUGGUAGAAGAAGCACCGGCUAACUACGUG